rnacentral:rRNA from 1 species
UACAGAGGGUGCGAGCGUUAAUCGGAUUUACUGGGCGUAAAGCGCAUGUAGGCGGAUUGGUCAGUUAGGGGUGAAAUCCCGGAGCUCAACUCCGGAACUGCCUUUAAUACUGCCAAUCUAGAGUCCGAGAGAGGUGAGUGGAACUCCUAGUGUAGAGGUGGAAUUCGUAGAUAUUAGGAAGAACACCAGUGGCGAAGGCGGCUCACUGGCUCGGUACUGACGCUGAGGUGCGAAAGCGUGGGGAGCAAACAGG